GGCACUAGAAGCCGAUGAAGGACGUUACUAACGACGAUAUGCUUUGGGGAGCUGUAAGUAAGCUUUGAUCCAGAGAUUUCCGAAUGGGGAAACCCAGCAUGAGUUAUGUCAUGUUAUCGAUAUGUGAAUACAUAGCAUAUCAGAAGGCACACCCGGAGAACUGAAACAUCUUAGUACCCGGAGGAAGAGAAAGAAAAUUCGAUUCCCUUAGUAGCGGCGAGCGAAACGGGAAGAGCCCAAACCAACAAGCUUGCUUGUUGGGGUUGUAGGACACUCUAUACGGAGUUACAAAGGACGACAUUAGACGAAUCAUCUGGAAAGAUGAAUCAAAGAAGGUAAUAAUCCUGUAGUCGAA
rnacentral:rRNA from 1 species